AUUGAACGCUGGCGGCAGGCCUAACACAUGCAAGUCGAGCGGAGCGGCGGACGGGUGAGUGAUGCCUAGGAAUCUGCCUGGUAGUGGGGGAUAGCGUCCGGAAACGGGCGCUAAUACCGCAUACUAUCAGAUGAGCCUGGGUCGGAUUAGCUAGUUGGUGGGGUAAAGGCCUACCAAGGCGACGAUCCGUAACUGGUCUGAGAGGAUGAGCAGUCACACUGGAACUGAGACAAGGCCCAGACUCCUACGGGAGGCAGCAGUGGGGAAUAUUGGACAAUGGGCGAAAGCCUGAUCCAGCCAUGCCGCGUGUAUGAAGAAGGUCUUCGGAUUGUAAAGCACUUUCAGUUGGGAGGCGUUACCCACAGAAUAAGCACCGGCUAACUUCGUGCCAGCAGCCGCGGUAAUAC
rnacentral:rRNA from 1 species